rnacentral:lncRNA from 1 species
AAGGGGGGAGUUCGAAGCGGGGCCGAGAGGAAACGCUGGGUGCGAACGCCAAAAAAUGCGCUUUUUUCAAAAAUUCAAACUAUAUUUUUUUAUAUUCUAACUGUUGCCUAAAUCCAACGUUCUUCUUUUGUUUUUUCUUUUUAUUAUUCAAUUCUCCAUCUAUAAUUAUUACUAUUUCAUCAUCAUUUUCUACAUCAAGCACUUCAUUCUUCUUCCAUUUUUCAUCUUCUUCUCUCAUUUCACUUCUAAAUUAACU